rnacentral:rRNA from 1 species
GACAGAGGGGGCGAGCGUUGUUCGGAAUUACUGGGCGUAAAGGGCGUGUAGGCGGUGCGGUAAGUCGGACGUGAAAUCCCCGGGCUUAACUCGGGGGGGUCGUUCGAAACUGCCGUGCUCGAGUGUGGGAGAGGGAAGUGGAAUUCCCGGUGUAGCGGUGAAAUGCGUAGAUAUCGGGAAGAACACCGGUGGCGAAGGCGGCUUCCUGGCCCACAACUGACGCUGAGGCGCGAAAGCUAGGGGAGCAAACAGG